rnacentral:rRNA from 1 species
UACGUAGGGGGCAAGCGUUGUCCGGAUUUAUUGGGCGUAAAGAGCGUGUAGGCGGUCAGGUAGGUCGGUUGUGAAAACUGGAGGCUCAACCUUCAGAGGUCGACCGAAACCCCCUGGCUAGAGUCCGGGAGAGGAGAGUGGGAAUUCCUGGUGUAGCGGUGAAAUGCGCAGAUAUCAGGAAGAACACCCGUGGCGAAAGCGGCUCUCUGGAACGGUACUGACGCUGAGGCGCGAAAAGCGUGGGGAGCGAACAGG